GACGAACGCUGGCGGCGUGCUUAACACAUGCAAGUCGAACGGAAAGGCCCUGCUUUUGUGGGGUGCUCGAGUGGCGAACGGGUGAGUAACACGUGAGUAACCUGCCCUUGACUUUGGGAUAACUUCAGGAAACUGGGGCUAAUACCGGAUAGGAGCUCCGGCUGCAUGGUGGGGGUUGGAAAGUUUCGGCGGUUGGGGAUGGACUCGCGGCUUAUCAGCUUGUUGGUGGGGUAGUGGCUUACCAAGGCUUUGACGGGUAGCCGGCCUGAGAGGGUGACCGGCCACAUUGGGACUGAGAUACGGCCCAGACUCAUACGGGAGGCAGCAGUGGGGAAUAUUGCACAAUGGGCGGAAGCCUGAUGCAGCAACGCCGCGUGCGGGAUGACGGCCUUCGGGUUGUAAACCGCUUUCGCCUGUGACGAAGCGUGAGUGACGGUAAUGGGUAAAGAAGCACCGGCUAACUACGUG
rnacentral:rRNA from 1 species